rnacentral:rRNA from 1 species
UACGUAGGGGGCGAGCGUUGUCCGGAUUUAUUGGGCGUAAAGAGCGUGUAGGCGGUUCGGUAAGUCUGCCGUGAAAACCUGGGGCUCAACCCUGGGCGUGCGGUGGAUACUGCCGGGCUAGAGGGUGGUAGAGGCGAGUGGAAUUCCCGGUGUAGCGGUGAAAUGCGCAGAUAUCGGGAGGAACACCAGUAGCGAAGGCGGCUCGCUGGGCCAUUCCUGACGCUGAGACGCGAAAGCUAGGGGAGCGAACAGG